rnacentral:rRNA from 1 species
AGUGGCGCACGGGUGCGUAACGCGUAUGCAACCUACCUUAUUCAGGGGGAUAGCCCGAAGAAAUUCGGAUUAACACCGCAUAAAAUCACAGCUCAGCAUUGAGUAAUGAUCAAAUAUUUAUAGGAAUAAGAUGGGCAUGCGUGUCAUUAGCUAGUUGGCGGGGUAACGGCCCACCAAGGCGACGAUGACUAGGGGAUCUGAGAGGAUGACCCCCCACACUGGUACUGAGACACGGACCAGACUCCUACGGGAGGCAGCAGUAAGGAAUAUUGGUCAAUGGAGGCAACUCUGAACCAGCCAUGCCGCGUGCAGGAAGACAGCCCUCUGGGUCGUAAACUGCUUUUAUUCGGGAAUAAACCUUUCUACGUGUAGAGAGCUGAAUGUACCGAAGGAAUAAGGAUCGGCUAACUCCGUGCCAGCAGCCGCGGUAAUACGGAGGAUCCAAGCGUUAUCCGGAUUUAUUGGGUUUAAAGGGUGCGUAGGCGGCUUAUUAAGUCAGGGGUGAAAGACGGUGGCUCAACCAUCGCAGUGCCUUUGAUACUGAUGAGCUUGAAUGAACUAGAGGUAGGCGGAAUGUGACAAGUAGCGGUGAAAUGCAUAGAUAUGUCACAGAACACCGAUUGCGAAGGCAGCUUACUAUGGUUUUAUUGACGCUGAGGCACGAAAAGCGUGGGGAUCAAACAGGAUUAGAUACCCUGGUAGUCCACGCCCUAAACGAUGAAUACUCGCUGUUAGCGAUACACAGUUAGCGGCUAAGCGAAAGCGUUAAGUAUUCCACCUGGGGAGUACGCCCGCAAGGGUGAAACUCAAAKGAAUUGACGGGGGCCCGCACAAGCGGAGGAGCAUGUGGUUUAAUUCGAUGAUACGCGAGGAACCUUACCCGGGCUUGAAAGUUAGUGAAUCAUUUAGAGAUAGAUGAGUCCGCAAGGACACGAAACUAGGUGCUGCAUGGCUGUCGUCAGCUCGUGCCGUGAGGUGUUGGGUUAAGUCCCGCAACGAGCGCAACCCCUAUGUUUAGUUGCCAGCACGUUAAGGUGGGGACUCUAAACAGACUGCCUGUGCAAACAGAGAGGAAGGAGGGGACGACGUCAAGUCAUCAUGGCCCUUACGUCCGGGGCUACACACGUGCUACAAUGGAUGGUACAGAGGGCAGCAAGCUGGCAACAGCAAGCAAAUCUCAAAAAGCCAUUCACAGUUCGGAUAGAGGUCUGCAACUCGACCUCUUGAAGUUGGAUUCGCUAGUAAUCGCGUAUCAGCAAUGACGCGGUGAAUACGUUCCCGGGCCUUGUACACACCGCCCGUCAAGCCAUGGAAGUUGGGGGUACCUAAAGUAUGUAACCGCAAGGAGCGUCCUAGGGUAAAACCGAUAACUGGGGCUA